GGUAGCAUAAUCAUUUGUUCUAUAAUAGAGAACUAGGAUAAAAGGGAAAGCAACUCUACAACUCUUUAACCAAUCCUUAGAAUUUAAUUUCUACAUCAAAAAGUGUAGCUUUGUUGGAGGGACGAUAAGACCCUAUAAAACUUUAUCAUUUUCUCUUAAAUUUUAGUAAAAACCCAGAGGGGGAUGAUUGAACUGGGGCGGUAUCUAACACUCUUUAGAAAAGAAAACACAUUCAGUGAAAAGUUUUAUCCUUUACGGAAUAAAAAGUUACUUUAGGGAUAACAGCGCAAUUUUUUAAGGUGGAAACAUUUUAUAAAGACUUGCGACCUCGAUGUUGAAUUGAGGGGCCAAUUUCUUUAAAGAAAUUUGGAGGUCUGUUCGACCUUUAAAUCCUCACACGAUUUG
rnacentral:rRNA from 1 species